rnacentral:sRNA from 1 species
GUGCACCCUCGUACACUCCGGUUCCUCCGCGCCGUCCGCACUCACCUGACGGCUGCUCGCUACGUUUUGUUAGCC